AGAAACCCUUACCGCGCAAGCUUCUGAUCUAAAAUCAGUCUCUCUCAAAAAUUUUGUUUGGUCAUAGCUAACAUAGUUGAUAGUAGAGGAAUUCUUCUUAUGUGGACUCAGUAAAGGCAUUAUUUUUCGUGCAGCACUCGUGAUCAAACUUUGUUCCUACCAUCAAAGGUUUUGCGCUACAAGAGGGAGCAAAAUAUGGGUGAAAUUAUAAAAUUUGUUUACUCUAGAAUCAUUUUUCUUUCACUAUUUCUUUUGGCAACCGAUACCCAAGCACUUAUUGAAUGUUAUACUUACUUUGAUUGUCCUAAAGAUAUGUGUAUUUUUCCUUCUAUUGUGGUGUGUGUUAGAAAUCAAUGUGACUGUGUUGAAAUGUUUUAGACUAAGCAGAUUGGGCGGUGAAGAAUGAGGUUUUGCAUUAGAAAAAGAUCUAAGAAAAUUAGAAUAUUUCAUGAGUUGUCAAUUAGUUAUUGUGUAAUGAUUGGAUUUUUUUUAUAUCCUUUCUUAUUUUUUUAAAUGAUUCAUAGGAGAAGGUGGAGAUGAACUUCAUAGGAGAAGUAUGAUUGAUAGGUAGAAACAUAGGGAAAACCAUUAGAAUUCAUCAUAUUUAAUUGUAUUGAAAAUGAUUCAGUAAUGAGUACAUGGAUGGUUUUAGAAUGUCAAAAA